rnacentral:ribozyme from 12 species
AAACAAAAAAAAACUAGCAAAAACAAAAAAACAAAACAAAAAAGCGAAAAACGGGCGGGGGGUUCCCCCGUUCCUGUUCAUUUUCCUAUUUC